rnacentral:lncRNA from 1 species
AGGGUUUGAAAGAUGGCGGACGACGUGGACCAGCAACAAACUACCAACACCGUAGAAGAGCCCCUGGAUCUCAUCAGGCUCAGCCUGGAUGAGCGAAUUUAUGUGAAAAUGAGAAAUGACCGAGAGCUUCGAGGCAGAUUACAUGCAUAUGAUCAGCAUUUAAAUAUGAUAUUGGGAGAUGUGGAAGAAACUGUGACUACUAUAGAAAUUGAUGAAGAAACAUAUGAAGAGAUAUAUAAAAAUGCAAAUGACUUCACUUGGGUUUCUGCCAACUUUACAAUCCUGCAUGGAGUUCUCUUCUUUAUGAUGCCCUCCCAUUCCUGGGAUCACCAAUGCUGAGGACACAGGCUGUGUUUCCUUCUGUGCAUCUUAUGUCUGUGUAAACAUAACCACUGUGAGAUGAUGAGGGCUGAGCACAUGAGUGGUCCCAGGAGCCAGUUCCAGAAGCCAGCGUUGACUGCAUCACCUCGUGUGUGCCUGACCUCACUGUACAAUUUCAUCCUUACAGCCGCCCUCACGAUCGGUAUCUCCAAUUCACGGAUGAGAACACUGAGGCUCACAGGUCCCAAGGGCAGUAAGUGCCAGAGCUGGGAUUUGACUGAGCUUAUAUCUCUGCACUUUGAAAAGCAGACAGCAUCUUGGUCUGUGAGAAUUCCUCUCUUGCAUCUGGGGGACGGAGAUGCUGAGCCAGCAUGGAAAGAGCCUGAAGAUACAAGUUUGCCUCACGACUGAGCCCCUAAAUGUGAAGUGUGAGGCCUCAGCAGCCUAAUAUGUGGCCCCUUCUUUUCUUUGGCAUGGUUUUUAGAAGACUCAGGAGCCUGAGCUGGGGAAGGAAGGGAGGGUGAGCCCAGCUCAUGUCCACAGGACACAUGUCAGCAGAAAAUACACACCUAGUCAGAGGAAUGCACUUUCACAUUCUACACACACAUAUGCACAUGAACCCUCAUGAUGUUCAAAGCUGUCUCCUCACCAUUAUCCCAUUUAGGACUCCAAUCAGGGCUGCCUCCUAUGGUUGCUCAUGCCGUGCACUGCACAAUUGUAAGAGCCGCCAGUCACAUGGACUGUGAUGUGAGCAGCACCCCCUGGAGUAGCCUAACACAGUGGCCCUGUUCACAGUAACCUGGGAGGGAGCCAAGGAGACUUGGCCCAUUUUGUAGCUAGUAGAAACUGAAGCUCAGAGACAGCCAGUGACUUACCCAUGGGUCAAAGAAUGAGUCAGUGGUUGGAACAAAUUCUAUGUCAUCCUUUGUCUCCCUCCCCCAGGCAUUUCACAAAGAAUUCCUCUUUCUUUCUAAAACUUUGAUUUACUUUCAAAAACAAAUCAUUUUGAACUUCUAUCUAUUUUUGAAGAGGAGCCAUACUCAUGUGAUACAGAAUUGUAAGGGUACGAAAGGAUAUAAAGAGAAAGCUGUUCCCCAUCCACCCCGACCCCCAAACAGCCCCUGCUGCUGUCCUGUGCCCCCUUCCAGAGACAGUCUGUACACCUGUCACACCAGAGGGCGCGUACAGUGCCUGCACACCUUGCUGUUUUCACAUUACGUGUCCUGCAGUGUAUCAGAACAUUUCAGGCUAUGGGAUUCUUCGUUUUACCCGUGAACAAAAUUCCAUCAAGUGGAGGCCUUAAUUGCUGCCUAAGCAGGACCCACUGGUGUUCAUUCACAUAGGGCGUUUCCAAUCUCUCCUGCAAGCAAAGGAUUGCCAGAUACUCCCCCUCCUCGAGCACAGAGUAUCAUUUCGUAAAUCUGAAAACACACCUCAAGGAUACAUUCUUCAUUUCUUUAAAAUCAAAAUGUUUCAUUUUUGAAACAAACAUAAAACACCAUGAAAGGGCAUAUCAGAAAAUAUAAGAGGAGAUCCAUAUCGCUCACCCCUACUUCCUAGAAGUGACCAAUAAUUCAUAUUAUUUCAUGUCUUGCACCUGUGGCUUAAUAUAUAUGAUUGGUUGCAAAACCAGCCACAACACUUCACACCUCUUUGGGUGCACUGUCCCUUGUGACUUUGUAGCUCGUCCCACUAAGAGUCAGAGUCUGUUUCUCCCUACAUUAAAUCUGAGCUUGGCCCUAUUCCUGGCUUUGGCCAUUAGAAUGUGGAAGUGAUGGUGUGCCAGUUCCAGGCCUAGGUCUCAAGAAGCUUUACAUGCUUCUGCUAACUCUUUUGGAACCUUGCUGCCCCAUGGGAAUAAACCAUGGCUAGCCUGCUGGAAGAUGAGAGAUACAUGGAACAGGGGAGACUCAUCCCAGUUGCCCCAGUCAAAGUUCCAGAGAGCAGCUCCUUGAAAUCUAAUCUGAUGUCCCAACUCCAACCCUUACCCCCUACCCCAUGCCAGCUUCCCCAGCAAAAUCAGAGCCCUCCAUCCAACCAGAGGCAGAGUAUAGCGACCUAGGUAUCUCUACAGAGGUGGGAGGUGGGGGGUGGGCAAGGCUUGGAGGAAGCCAUAUGCAUGCUCAUUUUGUAUGCCAGAGAGCAGAGGUCUUUCCAAAUGUGUCUUUGGGAGAAAAAUUGUAAAAUGGUCACCAAAGACUGUCCCUCUUACCUCCUGCCUGUUCUAGUUGGUCUUUCAUUCACUCAACACACUUUUGUUGAGCACCCACUACAUACCAGGUCUAGGUGUCAGGGAUAUAGCCAUGAGCAACACUGACAUUCUCUGCAAGUUACAUGCUAAAUGGAUGAGACAGACGAUAUGCAUUUAAGCUCAUGAUUAUAUGUCAGUAAGUAAUAAGUGUUCAGAAAGAAAUAAAGCAGGGUAAAGAGACAGCAGUGAUGGGAUAGCCAAGGAAUGCCCAUCAGGGAAGGGAUGUGUGAACAGACACUGGAACAAUAACAAGGAGUGAGCCCGGCAGACAUUCUAGGCCAAGGGUGUAACAGCGUGUGCAAAGGCCUGGAGGUCCCUUUGUUCCUAAGAUCCUGAGCUCAAGGUUGGAGUGAGUGUGCAGAAAUGCUGGAGGAACAGCCAGGAGGCAGGUGUGGCUGGAGCAGAGUUAGCAUGGGGUGUGGGGAGUGGGGAACAAGGAUAGAGGUGUCU